CCCUAUGCACACGCACUCACACUCACACAUCCACACACCUCACUAUAAACAAAACACAUGCUAUAUACACAGACAUUGACAAAAAUACACACCAUACUUCAUCCACAGACUGGAAAAAAGCAAAAGAGAAAGAGAUUGAAAUUACACACGCAGAGAAUGAAAAUCGGGGAAAGAGAGAGAAAAUUGAGUGGGAAAAUUAGAGAGAAUCGGGAGAGAGAGCAAAGAGUAGCAAAAAAAAAAGAGGGGAAUUGAGAGAAAGAUUGAGGGAGAGAUCGAGAGGGGUAAUAAACAGAGAAAACAAGGAGAAAUCAGUAGGAAACAGUGAGAAACGGUAGAAGGCAAAUCCAUUCCGGUGAGUUUUCGACGGAAUAACUCCGUUCGUUUUCUCCCCUUUCAUUAAAAAACUCAAUUUCCGGUCCAAACAAUCUUUCCUGCGCCGGAAAAUACCAACUUCGAUCAAAAUCAGUUUCGAAUGCCAUCACCGGAGAAUUCAUGUAGAGCGGAUGAGCUCGACGUUGAGGUUCGAUUUGGAUUGAGGUUCCGAUGGCUGCGAUACUCCGGUCUUUCAUGAGAAUAAUCAAUGAAUUUGAUUCGGAAGGGGUGUGCAAACGUACGACUCUGCUGCCACAAAUUAGGAUAUAGGCUCAAUCACUUGGUCUGACCUUAGGUGGACACCCUUCCAAAGUGCAAUGGAGGUCACCAGCCUAGGCAACGAGUCUUAAUGAUCAUCCAUUAACCCUGUCCAGGUAAAUACGUAUUUUGCACUUUAUUAUGAAAUCGAAGUAUUUUGUGCAAACAAAAGUAAGUCAUGGGAAUUGAUAGACAAGUGUCUUCUAUUCAUCCACGUGGUGGGGAAAUUGUUGUAGUAGAUGGAAUUGCUUACAUUUUGGCGAUUAUGAAUACUUGAGAAAACCUGACAUAUUUAAGAUCACACGAUUUUAUUUAAAAAAGGACAGUACGGGAAAUAUUAUUUAUUGAAAAAAGAGAUGGUCCUGUAUUCUCUAAGAGAAAAACUUUGUUUGACUAGGAUUGUACGAUGACUCGACAUCCAAUUUGAAGUUUGGGGUAUGAAAAAGAGUGCAACAUGGAUAGAGGCGAAGCCAAAAUUUCAAUUAAGGGGGUUCAAUAUUCGAAGGAAACCUAGCCGAAGGGGGUUCAACACCUAUUAUAAAUACAUAAAAAUAAUUUUAAUCAUAUAUAAAUGAUAUAUUUUUCAGUCGAAGGGGGUUCGGCCGAAUCCACUAACAAGGCCUGGCUCUGCCCCUGAACAUGGAUUAAGAUGACGACGAUUGAAUUAAUACACUGCGAUGCAGGUGAAUUCAGACGUUCUUGGAGGCCUGUCACCUUUAACAAGAAUGGCGACGUUGUUGUUGAGAUAUCAAACUGUUAUUGUGGUUUCUAAUUCCAAAAACCAUAAAUUUGAACAACUUAAAGUUACUGGGCUUGAAGCAUCUCUUUCCAUCAAUUGGAUUGUACCAUAUGUUAGACACUUUAUUCUCUCUUCAAUUCUAAGUUUAGUUGCAUUAAUUCAAUAAA